rnacentral:piRNA from 1 species
AGAGCCAUCUUUAGGUUUGCUAAUGAGCUC